CUGAGCGUGUGUGGUCUCUUAAUGUGAUAUCUCCACUGGCUCCGCAAAACCAGCAUGACAGACUGCCAGCGCAGCAGCAACCACUUUGAUUUUUCCAUUGAAGAAUGAAUCACUCUUGAAUGAACACUUAGUGACCCAUGGCUUAAAGGCCAGGAUUAGCCCUAGCAACCGAAGCUCUCUGGGGUCCACGAUCGAUGGUGAGGGCUCGACACCCUGUUGUCCACCUGAGCUCUCUCUGCUGGUCGUCCCAUCCAAGUCACAACAAGGUCCUCGCAGCCAGGCUUGACAAGGUCAUGAACUAUGUGAUGCAUCCUGAUCAAACAAGAUUUAUCUCAAGGCAACCAUUUUCUGGCAUGGAUCACAUCAAAAACCCAUCCCUCAUCUCCUCCAAGUGCGGAAACAUUAAAAGUAGUGCUCGUGUUUACUCCUGACAAAUAUGGAGGAGGAGACCCUGGUUCCCAUGGAGACACUCAUCUGUUUUGCACAGAAGAGGGUGGAGCUCUCUGCUGCAGAAUCACUGCUCACUGUGUGUGUUGGAGGUAGCACAGUGGAGACAGUUUAGUAUUGGCAACGAGGAUAAAAGCAUAACUGAAAUCAUGUCGUGUGUGUGCAUGUGCCAGUG